rnacentral:rRNA from 1 species
CCUACGGGAGGCAGCAGUGAGGAAUAUUGGUCAAUGGGCGCGAGCCUGAACCAGCCAAGUAGCGUGAAGGAUGACUGCUCUACGGGUUGUAAACUUCUUUUAUAAAGGAAUAAAGUGAGGCACGUGUGCCUUUUUGUCUGUACUUUAUGAAUAAGGAUCGGCUAACCCCGUGCCAGCAGCCGCGGUAAUACGGAGGAUCCGAGCGUUAUCCGGAUUUAUUGGGUUUAAAGGGAGCGUAGAUGGGUUGGUAAGUCAGUUGUGAAAGUUUGCGGCUCAAUCGUAAAAUUGCAAUUGAAACUGGCAGCCUUGAGUACAGUUGAGGUAGGCGGAAUUCGUGGUGUAGCGGUGAAAUGCGUAGAUAUCACGAAGAACUCCGAUGGCGAAGGCAGCCUGCUAAACUGCCACUGACAUUGAUGCUCGAAAGUGUGGGUAUCAAACAGGAUUAGAUACCCUUGUAGUC